GGUUUUUUGUACUGUAGUUUCAAACUGAAAUUAUUCUGAUAUAUUUUAUAUCUGUAUGACUGUAUGGUUGAAAGGGGAUUUCUUAUUCCUGUGAAAAACGACAUUGUUAAAGCACUAGGAACAUUAGCAGAUAAGCACUUUCAGAGUUUUCCACUUGUGAUCAGUACAGAUCUGGUUAUCUAGUAUGUGAAGUGAAUUUGGUGCUUUUAACCCUAUAGCAGAAAACUUUUAUUGUCAUUGAUAUGUUAGUUUCUUGUGAGCCUUAAAUUAUUGAAUAUUGUAGAUAUACUUCUUUAUAAAUAUUUUUAUUAAUUACCUUACCGUUUCAGAAUUUCUAAAUAAUUCAGUCCUGUGCUUACUGUCCCCACUCAAAAAAAUGUAUGUGCAGCUUUUUCUUUUUUUUUUUUUUUUGGUAGCUUUACAGUUUUAUACCUUUCUUAUAUUUUUGAGACCGAAAGAAAAAAAUUGUCUGCUGUUACUGGUUUUGAUCCAAGUGCACAACAGAUCAAAAAAAAAAUAAUAAUAAUAAUGAGGGAAUGGAUAGAUGUAACAAGGAAGUGGAAUGAGUGCAAUAUCUGCAAAACUAUUUUCGUCGUACACUCCAGAUUAUUUUGGCAUGUGUAUCGGUCACCUUUAUGUAUCCAUACCAUUUGUGUACACAGUUCACUCUUUUUAAUUAUCAUAGACUGGAAAUGGACGGCACUUAAAGAGUCUAACGUGGCAUGUUGUGCUGCUUCAAUAACCAUUGCGUGGCUUAUAUCUUGGACUCAGACGGAAAGCAUCACCUUUCAUCAAAACACAUCCUCAUUUUCUUUUAUUUCCAAACGAAAUCUUUUCAGUGCUGUGGAUUUUCCAGUUCAGGUGUUGUUGAGGGACGAGUGACAGGUUUUCUUCAUCCUGAUAAUACAGCGCUGUACAGCCUGCUCGUGAAGACUGACACAAAAGUUGCUGCUUUAAAUCAAAGAGCUGUGUUACCGUUUUUUUCUCGCAAAGAACGUCUCUGUUUUCCCCUCAAACUUCUGUUUUCUUGCUGAAGGAUGCUUCACGCCUUUACCCCGUACAGUGGCACAGCGAGACUAGCAGAAAGAGAAGUCUUGGUUGUCGACACUCAAGAGCAACCUGGAGCUCAUGCAGUAGCACUGUUCUCCAGAUGGCUUUCCACGGCACCGUCUCCCGUAACACACCAGUGAGCCACGAGACUGAGACAGAAAUUCCAGUGUGGGGAGGGUGUGAGUCAUGAGAUGAUACUGACCGUUAGGAAGACACUGCUGCAGAGACUGAAACCAAACCCAGUUAUUCCUUGUUCUCAAGUCGUCUUGGGUUAGAAGCUGACGAAAAAAAUAACUGUGAUGUCUCCAUCAAGCAUGCGUUCUCAAUGAGCUGGAUAUCUUCAUUCAAAUUGUUGAAAAUCUGUUCUGCUUGGAGGUUUCUCUCGUAGAGGAAUUGUUCAGCACCACAACAGGAGUGUGCAGGGGGCCCAUGAAAGUUUAAAUGCUUUGAAUUCACUGCCAGGCACAAGAAGACUUUACUACUUGAGCUAAUGUUUGGAAAUAAAUGAGUUCUUGUCAUAGAUUGGGCAUCUUCUACCAUGGUUCUUACAUAUCAAAAUUUCUCACCAUU